GAAGCCCAUGGCCGGCGUGCUUACACAUGCAGUCGAACGGGAUCCAUCGGGCUUUGCUUGGUGGUGAGAGUGGCGAACGGGUGAGUAAUGCGUGACCGACCUGCCCCAUGCUCCGGAAUAGCUCCUGGAAACGGGUGGUAAUGCCGGAUGUUCCACAUGAUCGCAUGUGAUUGUGGGAAAGAUUCUAUCGGCGUGGGAUGGGGUCGCGUCCUAUCAGCUUGUUGGUGAGGUAACGGCUCACCAAGGCUUCGACGGGUAGCCGGCCUGAGAGGGCGACCGGCCACAUUGGGACUGAGAUACGGCCCAGACUCCUACGGGAGGCAGCAGUGGGGAAUAUUGCACAAUGGGCGCAAGCCUGAUGCAGCGACGCCGCGUGAGGGAUGGAGGCCUUCGGGUUGUAAACCUCUUUUGUUUGGGAGCAAGCCUUCGGGUGAGUGUACCUUUCGAAUAAGCGCCGGCUAACUACGUGCCAGCAGCCGCGGUAAUACGUAGGGCGCAAGCGUUAUCCGGAUUUAUUGGGCGUAAAGGGCUCGUAGGCGGCUCGUCGCGUCCGGUGUGAAAGUCCAUCGCUUAACGGUGGAUCUGCGCCGGGUACGGGCGGGCUGGAGUGCGGUAGGGGAGACUGGAAUUCCCGGUGUAACGGUGGAAUGUGUAGAUAUCGGGAAGAACACCGAUGGCGAAGGCAGGUCUCUGGGCCGUCACUGACGCUGAGGAGCGAAAGCGUGGGGAGCGAACAGGAUUAGAUACCCUGGUAGUCCACGCCGUAAACGGUGGACGCUGGAUGUGGGGCACGUUCCACGUGUUCCGUGUCGGAGCUAACGCGUUAAGCGUCCCGCCUGGGGAGUACGGCCGCAAGGCUAAAACUCAAAGAAAUUGACGGGGGCCCGCACAAGCGGCGGAGCAUGCGGAUUAAUUCGAUGCAACGCGAAGAACCUUACCUGGGCUUGACAUGUUCCCGACGACGCCAGAGAUGGCGUUUCCCUUUCGGGGGCGGGUUUCACAGGUGGUGCAUGGUCGUCGUCAGCUCGUGUCGUGAGAUGUGGGAUAAGUCCCGCAACGAGCGCACCCUCGCCCCGUGUGCCAGCACGUAAUGGUGAGAACUCACGGGGGACGUGGCUACCUCGAGACGUGGGAUGACGUCAGAAUCAUCAUGCCCUUACGUCCAGGCUCCAGCGCAUUGCCUACA
rnacentral:rRNA from 1 species